UACAAAGCUAUCCCUAAUGUGGCUUUUUAAAAGGUAUUUUAGGUAACAGAGCAUCUCAACAAAUCUCCUAGAGUUUGGGGAUAUGUAUUUUUUGUGUCUCAGAUAAUUGAGUGUGGGACAAGAGAAUCAGCCACUAAAUUGAGUUAUUUAAAAUUCCUUAAAAAGAGGAGGAGAGAAGGAAUCCUUUACUCAGGGUUUUAUUUAGGGGUGAACCCACUGAUAUGUCCCAGCCUGCACACAGGGCAGAAGGUGCUGUUCACAGUGGGACUGAAUUGCAGUGUGAGCUGGGCCGGGUGCCUCUCCCAGCCCAGACUGUCCUGCCUGGCACGGGGCAGGGCUGGGGCUGUGCCUGUGAAAUGGGAUAAAUGAACUGUCCUGCCUGAGAGCAGCUUGUUUGGAUGAGGAGCAGGGAACGUGCCUUGCUGUGGCUGCCCCAGUGCCAGGGAGCUUCUGCCUUCAGAGAGGAGCCAGUGCUGCCUUCAGCAUCUCACUUCUCUGAACCUGCUCCUUGGCUACUGUGUGUCACACGGCUUUGCUUGGGUGAUGCCAGGAAGCCUUUGUGACACCAACUGCUGGGAAUGCAGCCCCAGAGGUGCAGCCAGGUGUGUGCAGUGCAGGGAGUGCAGCCAGGUGUGCACAGAGGUGUGUGCAGUGCACAGAGGUGUGUGCAGUGCAGGGAGUGCAGCCAGGUGUGCACAGAGGUGUGUGCAGUGCACAGAGGUGCAGGCAGUGCAGGGAAUGCAGCCCCACAGGACUGCAGGGUCCAUCCACCCCCUGCAGGGCAGCCUCAGUGCCAUCCCUCAGGUGACAUCCCAGCCUCAUCCUCGGGAUGUGGCUGUGACCUGCAGCUUGCCACCAGCAGGGAGCCCCUGUCCCCCAGAGCAGGGCACUGGGUGUGACUGGCAGGAAAGGCUUUCUUGCGGUGUUUUAAGCUGCUGUCUCUCGCUCUGUCACUUUAACCAGAAAGAACAGGUCGUUCUUUUCCACUCCAAAAUCCCUUCAAGUACAUGAAGUGCUGGAUCUCAGGUCCCAGCCAGCCCUCUCCUCUUCAGAAUUCACAAGUUCAGAUCCUUUAGUAGCUGUCCCAUAGGUUAUAUUUCUCUGAAGCUGGGUGUUUUGGGCUUUUCCUCUUUCCUGCUGCCUGGGGCUGGUCCCCAUGUGGUGCAGGCUCCAGCUGAGGGCUCAGUGUCUGAGUGCAGAGCAGGACUAGUGCACACCUUGCUCGGGCUGGUUCUUAUGGCUGAUCUCAGCAAGGGGAGGGCUUUUCCUGGAGAAGCCUGGCAGUGUCAGUGUGUGCUGGAAGGGGUGUUGGUGGAACUCUUCUCCAUCUGCUGGUGCCCUCAGUGGUGUCUGUGCCAUGGCAGCAGCAGGCAGUGCCUGCCCAGCCCCAGGGCUGCCAGGAAUGGCUGGGGGAGGAGAUUCUGCUGUCUUCAUGCAACUUGGACUUGACCCUGCCUGCAAAUAUGAUCCCUUUCCUUGAUUUCAGAUGCUUAGUUUAGCCUCCAGAAAACCCUCUAGAAGAGAAGUUGAGCUGCCUGCAGUUCUCUUGUGUCCCCUCUUCACUCCUGUUGGGAA
rnacentral:lncRNA from 12 species